GCCUCGGAAGGUCAUGUAUGCUCCGGCCGCAAGGACUUACCAUUCCACAGCUACGGGCCCAGCUUCCAGCGCUGGCGACCGGAAGUACUCGCGGGUGGGCAGAACGGAGUCCGGAAGUGGGAAUGAGGGACGUGUAUUUGAUGACACUCAGACCACAGCGAUCAAGUCUGGAACCCACAGAGUCUUCUCCUGGUGUGAAGUUGAAGGCUGGUUGAGAAGACUGUCAUAAAGGGACAUCACCAUUCUCACCAGAGUCAAGAGGCUACUGUAGAGUUUGAGAGUGGUGAGGAUGAUGCAGAGGAUUAGGCAGAUGAUGAGAAGAGUUGGGAUGCCAGUCCAGGUCCUCAUCAGGCUCUCUGGCAUGUGUGCAUCAGUAUCAGCUAGCUCAAAUGUCUAUUCAUUUGCUCCAUUAUUUAUACUAAAUUUUGGGGCUUCUGCACACCUUUGUGUCCCUAUCAGCUGUUACCAGGUUUCUUAGUGACAUCUUACAUCUUAGAGUCAGGACAUGUAGUCUGGUGAUUUCUGCCCUGAUAUUACCCUUCUAACUCUUAUCAGGGUUAAAUAUUUAUUUUUUAGUUGUAGUUAAACACAAUGCCUUUAUUUUAUUUAUAUGUGGGGCUAAGGAUCAACCCCAGGGCCUUGCACAUGCCAGGCAAGCUCUGUACUGCUGAGCCACAACCCCAGCCCCAUCUACCUUCCUAUUCUUAAAGGGCCAUUCAGUGACUUUUAGGUUUGGGCAGCUAUAGGGUCUUUUAAAAAAAAAAAACUUAAAACACACAUUUACAUGAACUGUUUUACAGCUUGCCCUGUUUUGUUUUGUUUUAGUCAUAUAUGAAGACAUAGGGUCUUUUUUGCACUUCUUAGCUCUGCAAAAGCAGCCCCAGAAAAUGAUAAGAGUAUGGUUACUGUUACCACAAAACAAUCUGCCUCUUAUGGACCCACUUUCGUGGUGGAAAAUGAGCCACUGGCCAAAGGAGGAGUCUAGGUUUAUAUUGGUUAUACUGAGAGGUGACUUAAUUAGUGAGUGUGUCAGCUUGGUCACUCAGGAAUUUGGGGUCUGUUUUACUAAUUAUUGAGUGUGUCAGUUAGAGCACUCAGGAAUUGGGAGUUUUUUAUUUUUACUGGGCAAGGUGGAGGGUCAGGGGUCUGUGACCAGCAUCUGGAAAGGAUUUAUUCUGGGAGCAAUCAAUGCUUAAGUCUCUUCGAAUUCUAGUUUUGAUGUCCUUCUCCCCAGGACUUGCUUUGUCACCAGGAAAGAAUGUACUGGGAAAGGAUCCAUGCUUUCAAUGUAUGACUUUCUUUUUCACUCCCUUUUUUCCAGGCCCCAAUAUUUGGGGGUUUUCAUUUUUCCAUAUCCAACAGUUACUUUACAACAUUAUUUUACUAUAAUUUUCAUGUCAUGAAAUAUUAUUUAACGUUUUUUGACUAUUUAAAAAUUUUUAACUUGUGAGACAAAAAAAAAAAAGGCACUAGGGCUGGGGUUGUGG